rnacentral:rRNA from 1 species
UACGUAGGGUCCGAGCGUUAAUCGGAAUUACUGGGCGUAAAGCGUGCGCAGGCGGUUUUUGUAAGCCAGAUGUGAAAGCCCCGGGCUUAACCUGGGAAUGGCAUUUGGGACUGCAAGGCUGGAGUACGGCAGAGGGAGGUGGAAUUCCACGUGUAGCAGUGAAAUGCGUAGAGAUGUGGAGGAACACCGAUGGCGAAGGCAGCCUCCUGGGCUAGUACUGACGCUCAUGCACGAAAGCGUGGGGAGCAAACAGG